rnacentral:rRNA from 1 species
UACGUAGGGGGCGAGCGUUGUCCGGAAUCAUUGGGCGUAAAGCGCGUGUAGGCGGCCCGAUAAGUCCGCUGUGAAAGUCCAGGGCUCAACCCUGGGAUGCCGGUGGAUACUGUCGGGCUCGAGUCCGGAAGAGGCGAGUGGAAUUCCUGGUGUAGCGGUGAAAUGCGCAGAUAUCAGGAGGAACACCGAUGGCGAAGGCAGAUCUCUGGGCCGUAACUGACGCUGAGGAGCGAAAGCGUGGGGAGCGAACAGG